rnacentral:rRNA from 1 species
AAUGAACGCUGGCGGCGUGGUUAAGACAUGCAAGUCGAACGGUUUUUCAGGUGUAGCAAUUCAUUUGAAAAGCAGUGGCGAACGGGUGCGUAACACGUGAACAAUCUACCUUUUAGUGUGGAAUAGCUCGGCGAAAGCCGGAUUAAUACCGCAUGUGGUUGCUGCUCGCAUGAGUGGCAUACUAAAGUCAGGGACCGCAAGGCCUGACGCUAUUAGAGGAGUUCGCGGCCUAUCAGCUAGUUGGCGAGGUAACGGCUCACCAAGGCUAAGACGGGUAGCGGACCGGAGAGGAUGAUCAGCCACACUGGAACGGAGACACGGUCCAGACACCGACGCGUGGCAGCAGUUUCGAAUCAUUCACAAUGGGCGAAAGCCUGAUGGUGCGACGCCGCGUGAGGGAUGAAGGUCUUCGGAUUGUAAACCUCUGUCACCGGGGAAGAAACGCUUCAAGUUAACAGCUUGAAGCCUGACUUAACCCGGAGAGGAAGCAGUGGCUAACUCUGUGCCAGCCGCCGCCGUAACAC